AGACGGCAGGACGUCUUAAAUAACGCAGAGAGUUUCCAAGAGUUAAUGAUUUUUGGAUUUUUGUUUUUACACAACAGCUUUGUCCAAAGAGGACAAAAACUUGGACUUCUUGCGACUGGCAUCCUGAGCGUUUGAUUUAGUGCACAAUACCAUCCUUCAGAACCGUGGCCCAAGUCUUUGUUCCUGGAAAAAUGUCUGUUAUUGUUAUGGUUGGGCUUUUCAAAGGUUCUUCGUGUUAAAACCAAACAAAAAUAAACCGUCCCAUCAUGUGUCAUUCUCCUCCUCCAUGCUGUUGUUUGAAUGCAGCCGUUCUUCCUCCUCUAAUAUUACGAUUAUUUUCUUUCCAUUUCAAUAUCCUUCAGCCGGAUACCACCCAAACACCUGCAACAAAAGGCACAUGCAUCAUCUGGAAUACUGUGACGUACAUGGUGAGUGG